GGGUUUUGGUGCAAUCUUGAGGUAGGGGCAUCUUAAUCCACUCUCUUCUUGUUCCAUUGUCUUGGAAAAGAACCGGUGAACGACAACCCACCUCAAGCUUGAGCGAUACUAGAAGCUCACUUUUGUGUCUUUUGUAUAUCUCCCAUUAUUUUUGCAAAGCACUAAAAGUGUGAAGGUGUAUAUGUAUAUUUUGCAAAAACUUUGUCAUGUAAUGUAAUUAAGGUAUUUGAUGAUAUUUUGGAUGUGAAUUUGAUAACAUGUAAACCUUAUUGAUGAAUGGGGAGAGUAAUACUAGUUUGAAGUAUUAUUGAGGUCA